GCCAGGCCGGUCCAUCGGGAAAUCGUCAGCUCAACUGACGGGCGUCCGGUGGAUACCACCUGGCUCGGGACCGGAUGGCUCGAGGGGUACGUCCGGGGUAGGAGUGAAAUCCCGUAAUCCUGGACGGACCGCCGAUGGCGAAAGCACCUCGAGAGGACGGAUCCGACGGUGAGGGACGAAAGCUAGGGUCUCGAACCGGAUUAGAUACCCGGGUAGUCCUAGCCGUAAACGAUGCCAGUUAGGUGUGCCACAGGCUACGCGCCUGUGGUGUGCCGUAGGGAAGCCGUGAAACUGGCCGCCUGGGAAGUACGUCCGCAAGGAUGAAACUUAAAGGAAUUGGCGGGGGAGCACUACAACCGGAGGAGCCUGCGGUUUAAUUGGACUCAACGCCGGACAUCUCACCAGCCCCGACAGUGGCGAUGAAGAUCAGUGUGAUGAGCUUAUUCGAGCCACUGAGAGGUGGUGCAUGACCGCCGUCAGCUCGUACCGUGAGGCGUCCUGUUAAGUCAGGCAACGAGCGAGACCCGCAUCCCUAAUUGCCAGCAUGACCGCUUGGUUGAUGGGGACAUUAGGGAGACUGCCGCGGCCAACGCGGAGGAAGGAACGGGCAACGGUAGGUCAGUAUGCCCCGAAUGGGCUGGGCAACACGCGGGCUACAAUGGCGGAGACAGUGGGUCGCAACCUCGAGAGAGGGCGCCAAUCUCCGAAACUCCGUCGUAGUUCGGAUUGCGGGCUGAAACUCGCCCGCAUGAAGCUG
rnacentral:rRNA from 1 species